UACGUAGGGAGCUAGCGUUAUUCGGAAUUACUGGGCGUAAAGCGCACGUAGGCGGCUUUGUAAGUAAGAGGUGAAAGCCUGGAGCUCAACUCCAGAACUGCCUUUUAGACUGCAUCGCUUGAAUCCAGGAGAGGUGAGUGGAAUUCCGAGUGUAGAGGUGAAAUUCGUAGAUAUUCGGAAGAACACCAGUGGCGAAGGCGGCUCACUGGACUGGUAUUGACGCUGAGGUGCGAAAGCGUGGGGAGCAAACAGG
rnacentral:rRNA from 1 species